UGAUUGUAGAGUUCCAUGCAUUUUGACAAAUGCAAAGUCAUGUGAGCCCCUUCGCAGUUAAGACUUACAACAUAUCCGUAUCAUCAGGCUGUUUCCUUCCCUCCAUUUGUAAUCAGCCCCUUCCGUUCCCUCCCAGCCUCCGGCAACCCCUCACCUGUUUUCUGUCGCUAUAGUUGCCUGUUCCAGAAUGCCAUAUACACGAAGUCACACCAUUUGUGACCCUUGGAAUCCGGCUUCCCCCCUGAGCAUAAUGCCUUUGAGAUUCACUCCUGUGUGACGUGUAUCCAUCGCUCCUUUUCAUGGCUGAGAUGUAUUCCAUUAGGGGAUUGUUAUUAUGGGAGCGUACAAGGAAAGAGAGAAAAUAGUGAAGACUCACCAGAAAGAGGACCAGAGCAUGUGGAGACAAAGAUGUUACACCGAGAGGUAUAAAAUGAAACGAAGCUAAAGGAAUGGCUCACAGUGACUGAAUUUUGUAGAUGAUUGAUGAUCGGAAGUUUAAGCCAGCCCCUUGCAGAGGGAAAGAUGAACACUCUGUGCUGCCUUCUCCUGAGGAGCAAGCCAGGAGGUUGAACAUAUUGAUCUCAGAUCAGAAAGAUAAACCACCCACAUUCUGCCUGAAGAAGUGCGUUCUCAACGUCCAAAGACCGAGCCUGAACUUCAGAUCUCCUUCUGCUCUCAAGCUGUGAUAUUCUGAAACCCAAAUCCCAGAGCACUUUGAAACAAGGUCCGUGUUCUGCUGGUCCUACAGCCACGUGUGCACAGCGCUGACUAUUCACAUGGCCGUCAAGUGAGAACAACGUUGGUAUCGCAUGCCGCCUGCUGGUUCAUUCUUUCAGCACCGCCCGAGACCAAAAUGGUGACAAAGGUCAUGAAAGAGGGAAUUAUUCCAGUUUAGAAGACGAUCAAGACUGUCCGUGAGAUAAAGGUGCUGUCCUCUGAGAUUCCACAGUUAAGUGGAAUUAAAUGGGAAAUUUUUGCCUCCUAAUGGAGCACAGUGACACAUGGCCCUGAUGGGUACGACAUCAUUUCUGCUAUACUCUCUUGGUGGAAGGAGUCGAGAGCCCACCUGGAUUCAAAGGACUGGGACAGAGACCCCACCUCUCGAUGGGAGGAGUGUCGAGUGUUUGCAGCAGCUGCUGGAACCACCCUGACUGCGGCAGGGCAAAGAACGGGGUGGUGCCCCCCUGGACGCAGCCGCUGUGCUCCCUGCAGAGGCACCUCGCCACCGCCAAGAGCGACAAUCCCCUGCAAACUGCACCGCCAGCAAACUGCACCGCAGGCCUGCGUCGGGGGGCUCACGGCAGCCUGGUUCACAGACUCUCGGGAGAAAAAUUCCGACGUACAGGACCUGUUACCCAGCCGUGCAUCUCCUCACCUGCAGCAGGUGAAGACACGGAGGCCCCAAGAGGUGACACUACUUAGCAAAGGUCACCCAGCCACCCACCAGCACAUCUGGAUCUCAGACGCAGCGUUCUGGACUCUGGGUUCAGAACCUUUGAAGAAUAUGGUACAGUUAUGCUCACUGAUGGCUUGCCCAUGUCGCUUUUCCCGUGUGCUGUCAUGUAACAAAUUGACUUCAAAGAAUGCCUUCUAUGAAACAUUAGAAAUGAAGCAUGUUCUGUCAUCAGCUGAAAGCAUACGAUGUUCACAAGAACUGUGCUCGAUCGGAGAAUAUUUGGCUCUUGCAAGGUGUCCCCUUGUCCAGGAAGUCUUUCCCUGCAGCGCUGACAUCCAGCCUCGGUUUGACCUGAAGGUAAAGCUGGAGGGCGAGGGCAUACACAGGGUCUCACAAGUAUCUGAGGUCAUCAGUCGCUAAGUAUACCCACACUCUGCAUGAGGAGCUCAGCUCCAAGCAGGAAAUGCCAUCCACUCGUCUUGAUGCUCAGAUGCUGAUGGUCUCUCUGCAGCCUUCCUGCGAUGCCCGAGUUUUCCUUCUGUCCUAGCAAUCUUAGCAGUGUCACCUCUGCUCGUUGACCCCAAACUAAACACAUGAAGAGGGCCUCGUCCACUUCUCUGUGCCUCAGAAUGCUGGGUCUUCCUCCUGCGGGGGCGCCGGCUGAUCCGUCCGUCUUGGGGACCGUCCCUGUGAAAGUCUCGUUGGUUCUUUCCAAGAACUCAUCAAGAGGGAAAACUUACAGUGGUACCAACGUGUAUUGUAACACAAUGCGAGGAAGGUUGACUCAAAGGGGCAUUUUCUAAUAGAAUUUCAGGCAAAAGAACGUGGUUAAAUGGAAAAACAUAGCUUUUAAAAGAAAAUGCUGUUAUGACUAUUGCUUUUUUAAAAAUCUGUAAAAUAAUAUUGUACAAAAAAUUGCUUCCUUUCCCAGUACGUGAACAGUCCCCAUGGAUAACAAAGUCACAUUUCCAAUCAUCCAACUCAUUCACUCAUUGCAAAGGCUCGAUGGCACACCUCUUAGGUUCUAGGCCGUGUGCUGGCCAUGCGAAGGUGAAAGAGACACUGUCCCUCGUAGUCUGUGACAUCUGGGACAAACCAGGAGAGUGGGAGGGGAUCUGGGAAGUCAUACAGCCUAGAGUUGCAUGUAAGACAGGGUCACAUCUAUGACAACUUGGGCGAGUGGCCACUUCUGCUCCCGCCCCUCCCGUGACGGGCACUGCCUGCUUGGGGACGAGUCGCUGUGUUUGCUCAUAUUGCUCCCAAAUUUGUCUUCUUUUAUUUCUGCUUCAUAGUUCUUCUGGUUCUUUCUCUUGGAGCUACACAGAAGGCGCCUGGGAAUUUUGGAGAAAGUCCGUGUGACUCUCGGUUCCCCCGUGUCCUCUUCCCAGUUUCCUGCCGCCAUCCUCGUUGGCUGGGAAUACUCUGCACAAUGGAAGCAAGUCCUCGGGCGCCCGUCUCAGAUUUUGAGCUGGAGCGGAAUCUGGACUCACCGUGGGUUUUAUUGCUGUCUCCCCUAACUUGGUGUGUGUCAUCUGCAGUUUGGUUGAACAUAUUUUAUUUUAAAAUUUGAGGCUGAUCUGGCUGCCGUAUCUUUUCUCAUUGAUUGCCAGGGUUGGAUCAGCGUUUGAGGACUGCAAAGCAAGCAUCCCACACUUCUCCUUAAAUGUGCUCCCCAUUGAAGAAUGUGACCUUCCAGCUUGGAGGAGGAAUUUCCUUCCGUCAAGGGCAUGCCUUCUGUAUCUUCAUCUGGUCAAUUCACAAAAACACCAAGGUGGAACAUGGACUAAUGCAAAAUCUGGCCAUAUACCACUUUUCUCCAGAAGGGUUCAAAUCCAGGUCCCCUUUGGAGUGUAUUUACUGUUCAACCAACCAGGAAUCCAUCUAAUAACUCUAUUGUCCAUCAGGUCCUACAUCACCAUUGUGAAGGAACCUCACAAAUGUGCCACACAUCAAGAUGCAAGGUGUAAACAAUAAUGAUGGCAGUGAACAUGUACCAAGAGCAUUGUGUUAAGGGAUGUCACUAAAUUAUCAAGUGGAGGCUAUACAUUGACUACAGGCGGGGAAAUAAACACUUAGAGAAUUUCAGAAACUUUGCCCACAUCAGACUAGGAAGCGGAGGAGCCGGGUUUGAAGGCAGGCAGGCCAGCCCGAGCGCCCACAGUUGUCACAACUACUUACUCCUUGAUUGUUUUCAAUAUCACCAGUUAUAUGUUUUAAUAAUAAUUCUCUACCUUUUCAUAGACAGUGGUCAAAUUUUUUCUGUAGAAUUUUAAGUAAUGGAUAGAUGAUAGCUUUGGGGAAUGGUGUGGGAAUAUUCUUGCUAAGGACAGAGGUACAGAUUUUUUUUAUUCCAGUUCAAGUUUGCUCUUUUGGUUUUCUUCCAUCCGGCUGCAGUUAACACUUUCAUGUACAAUAUUAUCACCAAGUAUGACGCAUUCCUUUUUAAAAUUAAAGAGCAAACAAGUAAAAAAAUUGAUAUCGUUAACUGCUUUCCUGGAGGCGGUAUACCUUCAGCCUUGUCUCCUG
rnacentral:lncRNA from 1 species